GCAAGUCGAGCGGAGACAGUGAGUAGCUUGCUAUGAGCUGUUUUAGCGGCGGACGGGUGAGUAACGCGUGAGCAACCUUUCCCAGACAGGGGAAUAACACACCGAAAGGUGUACUAAUACCGCAUAAGACCACGGGAUCACAUGGUUCUGAGGUAAAAGAUUUAUCGGUUUGGGGUGGGCUCGCGUCCGAUUAGGUAGUUGGUGAGGUAACGGCCCACCAAGCCGACGAUCGGUAGCCGACCUGAGAGGGUGAUCGGCCACAUUGGGACUGAGACACGGCCCAAACUCCUACGGGAGGCAGCAGUGGGGAAUAUUGGGCAAUGGAGGAAACUCUGACCCAGCAACGCCGCGUGGAGGAAGAAGGUUUUCGGAUCGUAAACUCCUGUCCUUGGAGACGAGUAGAAGACGGUAUCCAAGGAGGAAGCCCCGGCUAACUACGUGCCAGCAGCCGCGGUAAUACGUAGGGGGCAAGCGUUGUCCGGAAUAAUUGGGCGUAAAGGGCGCGUAGGCGGCUCGGUAAGUCUGGAGUGAAAGUCCUGCUUUUAAGGUGGGAAUUGCUUUGGAUACUGUCGGGCUUGAGUGCAGGAGAGGUUAGUGGAAUUCCCAGUGUAGCGGUGAAAUGCGUAGAGAUUGGGAGGAACACCAGUGGCGAAGGCGACUAACUGGACUGUAACUGACGCUGAGGCGCGAAAGUGUGGGGAGCAAACAGGAUUAGAUACCCUGGUAGUCCACACUGUAAACGAUGAAUGCUAGGUGUAGGGGGUAUCGACCCCUUCUGUGCCGCAGUCAACACAAUAAGCAUUCCGCCUGGGGAGUACGGCCGCAAGGUUGAAACUCAAA
rnacentral:rRNA from 1 species